UGGGGAAUAUUGCACAAUGGGCGCAAGCCUGAUGCAGCCAUGCCGCGUGUAUGAAGAAGGCCUUCGGGUUGUAAAGUACUUUCAGCGGGGAGGAAGGGAGUAAAGUUAAUACCUUUGCUCAUUGACGUUACCCGCAGAAGAAGCACCGGCUAACUCCGUGCCAGCAGCCGCGGUAAUACGGAGGGUGCAAGCGUUAAUCGGAAUUACUGGGCGUAAAGCGCACGCAGGCGGUUUGUUAAGUAAGAUGUGAAAUCCCCGGGCUCAACCUGGGAACUGCAUCUGGUACUGGCAAGCUUGAGUCUCGUAGAGGGGGGUAGAAUUCCAGGUGUAGCGGUGAAAUGCGUAGAGAUCUUGGGGAAUAACGGUGGCGAAGGCGGCCCCCUGGACGAAGACUGACGCUCAGGUGCGAAAGCGUGGGGAGCAAACAGG
rnacentral:rRNA from 1 species